rnacentral:rRNA from 1 species
GGUGAACGCUGGCGGCGUGCUUAAGACAUGCAAGUCGAACGCGGUCUUCGGACCGAGUGGCGCACGGGUGAGUAACACGUAACUGACCUACCCAGAAGUCAUGAAUAACUGGCCGAAAGGUCAGCUAAUACGUGAUGUGGUGAUUUGCCGUGGCAAAUCACUAAAGAUUUAUCGCUUCUGGAUGGGGUUGCGUUCCAUCAGCUGGUUGGUGGGGUAAAGGCCUACCAAGGCGACGACGGAUAGCCGGCCUGAGAGGGUGGCCGGCCACAGGGGCACUGAGACACGGGUCCCACUCCUACGGGAGGCAGCAGUUAGGAAUCUUCCACAAUGGGCGCAAGCCUGGUGGAGCGACGCCGCGUGAGGGAUGAAGGUUUUCGGAUCGUAAACCUCUGAAUCUGGGACGAAAGAGCCUUCGGGCAGAUGACGGUACCAGAGUAAUAGCACCGGCUAACUCCGUGCCAGCCGCCGCGGUAAGAC